rnacentral:rRNA from 1 species
GACGAACGCUGGCGGCGUGCUUAACACAUGCAAGUCGAACGGUGAACUCCGCUUGCGGGGGGAUCAGUGGCGAACGGGUGAGUAACACGUGGGCAACCUGCCCUCAGCUCUGGGAUAACUCCAAGAAAUUGGGGCUAAUACCGGAUAUGACCGCUGACCGCAUGGUCUGGUGGUGGAAAGAUUUAUCGGCUGGGGACGGGCCCGCGGCCUAUCAGCGUGUUGGUGGGGUAGUGGCCUACCAAGGCGACGACGGGUAGCCGGCCUGAGAGGGUGACCGGCCACACUGGGACUGAGACACGGCCCAGACUCCUACGGGAGGCAGCAGUGGAGAAUAUUGCGCAAUGGGCGAAAGCCUGACGCAGCGACGCCGCGUGGGGGAUGACGGCCUUCGGGUUGUAAACCUCUUUCAGCAGGGACGAAGCGAAAGUGACGGUACCUGCAGAAGAAGCACCGGCCAACUACGUG